rnacentral:rRNA from 1 species
AUUGAACGCUGGCGGCAGGCCUAACACAUGCAAGUCGAACGAGUGGCGGACGGGUGAGUAAUGUCUGGGAAACUGCCCGAUGGAGGGGGAUAACUACUGGAAACGGUAGCUAAUACCGCAUACCCUCGGAUGUGCCCAGAUUGGAUGAGCUAGUAGGUGGGGUAACGGCUCACCGAGGCGACGAUCCCUAGCUGGUCUGAGAGGAUGACCAGCAAAACUGGAACGGAGCAAGGGUCCAGACUCCGAGGGGAGGCAGAAUUGGGAAUGAUUGCACAAUGGGCGAAGGCCGGAUGCAGCCAUGCCGCGGGGAUGAAGAAGGCCUUCGGGCUUAAAAGUACUUUAAGCGAGGAGACGUUACUCGCAGAAGAAGCACCGGCUAACACCGUGCCAGCCGCCGCGUAAUAC